rnacentral:rRNA from 1 species
CCUACGUGAGGCUGCAGUGGGGAAUAUUGCACAAUGGGGGAAACCCUGAUGCAGCGACGCCGCGUGAGUGCAGCAGUAUUUCGGUACGUAAAGCUCUAUCAGCAGGGAAGAAAAUGACGGUCCCUGACUAAGAAGCCCCGGCUAACUACGUGCCAGCCGCCGCGGUAAUACGUAGGGGGCAAGCGUUAUCCGGAUUUACUGGGUGUAAAGGGAGCGGAGACGGCAGCGCAAUUCUGGAGUGAAAUCCCAGGGCUUAACCAUGGAACUGCUUUGGAAACUGUGCAGCUAGAGUGCAGGAGAGGUAAGCGGAAUUCCUAGUGUAGCGGUGAAAUGCGUAGAUAUUAGGAGGAACACCAGUGGCGAAGGCGGCUUACUGGACUGUAACUGACGUUGAGGCUCGAAAGCGUGGGGAGCAAACAGGAUUAGAUACCCUAGUAGUC